rnacentral:rRNA from 1 species
AGAGUUUGAUCCUGGCUCAGAAUCAACGCUGGCGGCGUGCCUAACACAUGCAAGUCGCACGAGAAAGGGGCUUCGGCUCUGAGUAAAGUGGCGCACGGGUGAGUAACACGUGAAUGAUCUACCUCCGAGUGGGGAAUAACUGAGAGAAAUCUUAGCUAAUACCGCAUAACACUUACGAGUCAAAGCAGCAAUGCGCUUGGAGAGGAGUUCGCGGCCGAUUAGUUAGUUGGCGGGGUAAUGGCCCACCAAGACGAUGAUCGGUAUCCGGCCUGAGAGGGCGCACGGACACACUGGAACUGAAACACGGUCCAGACUCCUACGGGAGGCAGCAGUGGGGAAUUUUGCGCAAUGGGGGAAACCCUGACGCAGCAACGCCGCGUGGAGGAUGAAAUCCCUUGGGAUGUAAACUCCUUUCGAUAGGGAAGAUAAUGACGGUACCUAUAGAAGAAGCCCCGGCUAACUUCGUGCCAGCAGCCGCGGUAAUACGAGGGGGGCAAGCGUUGUUCGGAAUUAUUGGGCGUAAAGGGCGCGUAGGCGGUUUGACAAGUCUGAUGUGAAAUCUCUGGGCUCAACCCAGAGUCUGCAUUAGAAACUGUCGGGCUUGAGUAUGGGAGAGGUGAGUGGAAUUUCCGGUGUAGCGGUGAAAUGCGUAGAUAUCGGAAGGAACACCUGUGGCGAAAGCGGCUCACUGGACCAUAACUGACGCUGAGGCGCGAAAGCUAGGGGAGCAAACAGGAUUAGAUACCCUAGUAGUCC